CCACAGUGGGAACAAAGGAAGAAAUAUUGAUCAUGUUACUUCAGUAAAGAAAGCAAACAUGUGUCUGUAUUAAUAAUUAAUAAUGCAGUGACAUAUGAUUGGGAACUAGUUUGGUAACUAAACAGUUGUGAAUGUGCUGAAAGUGUGUAGAUGGUCUCUGCCCCCAUGUCAAUAACAUGACCCCCAGAUGAGAGAUGGCGGUGUCACAAAAAUAUGAAAAUCCUUCUUUAAUGCUGAUUACUCACAAGGUUACAAAAGGUCCAAAACAAUUUAAGAGUAGGAACCUGAAUAGCAGAAAGGAGAGACUCAGACAAACUCAUCACAUAGUGAGGGGGAACAGGUGAGAACACCUGUGGGGACAGCUGAAACUGAUCAAGCAAAUGAAACGAAGGAAGUAAAACCUGAAACCUGAAUAAAACAGGAAGAACGACUUUGACACAAAGAGACAAAGACAAGUCAGAAGGAACAGAAUGGGAACACAGGAGGGAACUAACAACCCGGACAUUGUUUCAAGCUAAACAAAGAAUUAAAGGCUCAGACAAGAAAAAAUUCAGGGAACAGGCCAUGUUAUCUAGCGGAUGUAUCACACAGAAGCUUGUUUUUAAUACAGGACGUGAACCCAGGAGACUGAUAGUUGUUGUAAUGAAGAAAGAGAAGAAGAAAACCUGAGGCCACAAGAGGAGAGAGAAGACCAAAGCUGGAGCUCACACAGGCUUCGGACAUAUGAAGGGGGCUCUGCCAUGCAACAGGAAGAAAGACCCUUUUCCUAAGGAUGUGUUGUGGUUCUUAUGGAUUCCUUACUUGUGGAACUGAACCCAUGUGGAGUUUCCCAACAGAGCCAACAUGUGCUCUUCGAUCUGCAAGGAUAUCCUCUGAAAACCUCCACUGUGGAGCAAAACAAGACACACUGCUGUCUGCCUGCAAAGAUUUCUGUAUCCGGUCUCACUCUGAAGAUCAGUACUUGGUAAACUUGUUGUAUAUACGAAAAAACUGGUGUUUGAAAUGUCUGACAAGGAAAAUCUUGAUGUUGCAUUUGUUGCCUGUUGAUGGUUAAGUUUGUGAGAAAGUGAGCAACAAUGAAAAAACAAACCUAAUAACUAAACACUGAGAAGCUAGAAAGCUAGAAACCUGGAAACUAGGGACAAGAGCACAAGGGCACUUAGAGGAAAAAACACAGCACAGUGAGGGUACAACACAACAACUGAGAAACACAGGUCUUAAAUACACCGCCAGGACAACGACAAGAUGGGGAACAGGUGGUAACACAGCUGGGACAACUCACACCUAACGAGACAAAGGAAGCAAAGCAGAACACACCGACCUAGGACACAGACUGUCAAAGUAAAACAGGAAGCAUAACACAGAGAUGCGGACCUGACACUGAGAUAUAGAGACAUGAAAAAGGCACCGAGUAGGCAUAACACUGAACAGAGGGAAGGCAUAUAAACAAAACCUAAGACUGGAAAUCAGGAGAUACUACAGAACUUAGGGAGCUAGGAAUACAGAAACAAAAACCAAGAGACUAGCAA